GGGGCGAGGCGAGGCUACGAGGAAGUGGGGCUGAUGACGUUGGCCACGGCAGUCCAGGAAGGGUUUCGGUGACGGGGAAGGGGAUGCUGUCGGGAACUGCUAACAGGAACCGGGUCUCGGCGGACGUUGGUAACGGGAAGAGGAGUUUGGGGGUCUGGCUGAUAGGAUAGGGCGCUCAGAGGGCUUUUCAUGAGGGAAGUCUCGGUGUCGGGAAUUUUGGAGCAUGAGUGACAGACGAGGGGUCUCUGAUGGUCGAUAAUGGCGGGGUGGGGGAGAUCUGUUUAGCGCAUUGACAGUUUGGGGAGUAUUGUUUGGAGUGGUAACAGGUUGGAGGGUGUGGCUAAUUUGAGGGGCCUGUGUGGGGAGAGGUUCUGAUGACAAGCCGGGGGUUCAGUAUUGGAGACAGCCAAAACAGGUGGCCUUGGACCUAGAAAUGGAAUUUAAACAAAACCCUAUUUCCUUCCUUUUUUCAUGAAUAAAUAAACGUUUGACUAAACAUGUAAGCACAUGUAUCACAAAUAGACAUUUGAGGAGCAUAACAUCUCACUGAUCACAAAGAGACCCCUUAACCUUAACUACAGAGGACUUAGAGGUGACUGUCAGGCUGAGAGAAUUCCCCUGAGAGUUGGUCAUGAGACAAAUUUCUUUGGCAGUCAGCAUGGAGUUCAGCAAUCACAGUCUAGGCUGUGCGUACGUGUGUCACCUGCCUGAGCAUAUGCCUUGAGUUCUCCAGUGAUGUCACCUCUUUCUUCCUAGCAGAGUCAUCAGGACAGUCUGCUCUGGGUCAACAUCUGUUUACUAGCUGGUGAAUAUGUAACAAGAAUAUUCAUUUAAUUGGGCACAUGAUCCUUGUCAUGUGCUUAUGAUUCUGAUGCAUCUGAAAGGAUUGCAUGUGUGAAUAUUGUCGUUCACCAUUUCCCAUAGUUGUAAUUCCUGAUGGAUGCUGUGGAAUCUAGCUUCAUUCUAGAAGCAUUUUGGUUAUUUUAAGAUUGUCUGAGCAACCAAAAUAGGCUUUUGUUUGCUUGCUUGUUUUUAAUGAAGUGAAAAGCCCUUUGAAUUUCAUACCUAGAAAUUAUUACUGCUGCAUACAGGAGCACUGUUCUAGGUGUUGAGGAAAAGCAGUGAACAGAACAUUCAGCUGUCAAGGAGUUUCUAGUGGGAUAAGACAACAAAUGUCAGGUAAUGGUAGGCGCUGUUUAGAAAAUAAAGCAGGGUUGGUGACGAGUGACAGUGGGGUAAUGCUAAUCAGGUAAAGUGGUUGGCAUAAUCAGGGACAGGAAGGAACCCCUUGUGGCUGGAGCUGAAUUAGCAAGGGGGGGUAUGUUAGAAGAUGAGAUCAAAGAUAUGUGUAACAAAGCUGUUGAGUUUUUUUUUUUUUUAAGAUUAUUUAUUUAUUCAUGAGAGACAGAGAGAGAGAGAGAGGCAGAAACACAGGCAGAGGGAGUCGCAGGCUCCACACAGGGAGCCCGACGUGGGACUCGAUCCCAGGUCUCCAGGAUCAGGCCCUGGGCUGAAGGCAGUAUUAAACCGCUGAGCCACCCGGGCUGCCCAGCUGUUGAGUUUUGAAUUUCAUGUGAAGAACUUUGGAUGUUAUUUAGAAUGAAAUGAGAAGUAGAGGAUUUUAAGCAGAGGUGUGACAUGGUAUGGCUUUCCUUUUGAACUGAGCAGGCUAGCUUUUUUGUAGACAGACUCUAAGGGUUUGAGAAUGGAAGUCAGGAAAACAAUUAGGAAGCUAUUGUGAUAAUCCAAGUGGAAGAUGAUGUUGGCCUAGACCAAGAUAAUGUCUGUGGGAAUGGUGGGAAGCAAUUAUAUUCUAGAUAUAUUUUGAAGGUAGAGCCAACCAACAAAAUUUGAUGAUAGAUUGAAUAUGAAGUGUGAGGGACAAGUCAAAGUCAGAGUUUUUAGAAGGAUGGAAUUGCCAUUUACUGAAAUAGAGUGGAGCCAGUUGGGGAGGUGGGGAUCAAGGUUUGGUUUUGGCUCUAUUGAGUCUGAGAUGCCCAAGGGACACAUCCAAAUGAAGAUAUAUGGAGUAAGUGAAUAGAUCUAUGAGUCUCAAAUUCAAGAGAGAAGUAUUUAAAGCUAUUGAACUGAUGAGAUCAGCUAGAGAGUGAAUGAAAAAACUGAAAAUACCUAUUUUGCAAAUAGAAUUAAACACUGAGGAAUCAAAGUGGAAAGAUCCCAUAAGUCACCCCUUACAGGAGUGUAACCUGAUGGUCUUCGUAAGGUGCAGUGUUUUUCUGUCUUCUAUCUUUACUUACUUCUUUGAUGUCUUUUUCCAGUUCACCAUUCUAAUUGGAUUCUCUGAUCUGCCCUGAUGAUAUGCAUCACCUUCUUUACCUAUGGGGUCAUUAUACUAGCUUAUUGAAUGUUCUAAAGAUACCGAAUGCCUUCCUUGAGGGGGUGGCUAGUUGAAAAGAUGACUCAGAAGAAAAAAUAGGAUAAUGAAAGUAUGCAGUUAUAUAUUAACAGACUUAUAAAAUAUGCAGAAUAAAUUUCAGAUGUUGGAGAGGUCCUGCACUUGAAUGCUGAAGGAUGGUUAGGGCAAUGGGGGCUGACACCAAACCAAGCGAGGCUUAUCAAAAAAGACUAAACAGAGAAUGUGAAUCUUAUGUGUCAGAGAGAAGUGUACAUUUUUCAAAGGACAAACUUCGCUUAAUAGACACAAAGACUGGGGUUAGAAGAGGGAACUGGGAAGCAAUAUAGACAAAUGCUGGAAAGCCUUGAUGUGAACAUUCAGGCGUUCUGAACUGAUUCGAGAUACCCUGAAUGGGUGCUUUUAGAAAGGAGUGGAACGUGAUCAAAAUGUGUAGUUUUAAGAGAACAACUCUCUUUGUCCUUAAAAGUAAAUUCUAUGAAGGUGCACCUAAGAGGCUCAGUAGGUAUAGUGUCUGACUCUCGGUUCCGGCUCAGGUCAUGAGCUCAGCAUCCUGGGGUCAGGCUCCGCACUUAGCAGGGGAGUCUGCUUAUUUCCCCCUCUCUGCCUCUCCCCGCCACUCACGUGCUCUCCUUCUCUCUAAAAUAAAUAAAUCUUUUUUAAAAAGUAAAUUUUAUGAAACAUGAAAAAAUUAUGGAAAUGGAAACAGAGAAGUCAGUUCUCAGUUAUGAAUAUAUGACAAUGACACAAUAUACACAGACCUUUAGCAUUUUUAAAAACUAAAAUUCCAAAAAAAAAUAAAAAAUAAAAA
rnacentral:lncRNA from 1 species